rnacentral:rRNA from 1 species
GACGACCGCUGGCGGCGUGCUUAACACAUGCAAGUCGAACGGAAAGGCCCUGCUUUUGUGGGGUGCUCGAGUGGCGAACGGGUGAGUAACACGUGAGUAACCUGCCCUUGACUUUGGGAUAACUUCAGGAAACUGGGGCUAAUACCGGAUAGGAGCUCCUGCUGCAUGGUGGGGGUUGGAAAGUUUCGGCGGUUGGGGAUGGACUCGCGGCUUAUCAGCUUGUUGGUGGGGUAGUGGCUUACCAAGGCUUUGACGGGUAGCCGGCCUGAGAGGGUGACCGGCCACAUUGGGACUGAGAUACGGCCCAGACUCCUACGCGAGGCAGCAGUGGGGAAUAUUGCACAAUGGGCGGAAGCCUGAUGCAGCAACGCCGCGUGCGGGGUGACGGCCUGCGGGUGGUAAACCGCUUUCGCCUGUGACGAAGCGUGCGUGACGGUAAUGGGUAAAGAAGCACCGGCUAACUACGUG